rnacentral:rRNA from 1 species
GACGAACGCUGGCGGCGUGCUUAACACAUGCAAGUCGAACGGCAAGGCCCUGCUUUUGUGGGGUGCUCGAGUGGCGAACGGGUGAGUAACACGUGAGUAACCUGCUCUUGACUUUGGGAUAACUUCAGGAAAGUGGGGCUAAUACCGGAUAGGAGCCCCUGCUGCAUGGUGGGGGUUGGAACGUUUCGGCGGUUGGGGAUGGACUCGCGGCUUAUCAGCUUGUUGGUUGGGUAGUGGCUUACCAAGGCUUUGACGGGUAGCCGGCCUGAGAGGGUGACCGGCCACAUUGGGACUGAGAUACGGCCCAGACUCCUACGGGAGGCAGCAGUGGGGAAUAUUGCACAAUGGGCGGAAGCCUGAUGCAGCAACGCCGCGUGCGGGAUGACGGCCUUCGGGUUGUAAACCGCUUUCGCCUGUGACGAAGCGUGAGUGACGGUAAUGGGUAAAGAAGCACCGGCUAACUACGUG